rnacentral:rRNA from 2 species
UGAGGAAUAUUGCGCAAUGGACGGAAGUCUGACGCAGCAACGCCGCGUGGGCGAAGAAGGCCUUCGGGUCGUAAAGCCCUUUUCUGAGGGACGAGGCAGGACGGUACCUCAGGAAUCAGUCUCGGCUAACUACGUGCCAGCAGCCGCGGUAAAACGUAGGAGGCAAGCGUUAUCCGGAUUUAUUGGGCGUAAAGCGCAUGCAGGUGGUUCCGCAAGUCGGGUGUGAAAGCUCCUGGCUUAACUGGGAGAGGUCGUUCGAAACUGCGGGACUGGAGGUCGGAAGAGGGAAGCGGAAUUCCCGGUGUAGUGGUGGAAUGCGUAGAUAUCGGGAGGAACACCAGUGGCGAAAGCGGCUUCCUGGUCCGCACCUGACACUCAGAUGCGAAAGCGUGGGGAGCGAACGGG